rnacentral:rRNA from 1 species
CCUACGGGGAGGCAGCAGUAGGGAAUCUUCCGCAAUGGACGAAAGUCUGACGGAGCAACGCCGCGUGAGUGAUGAAGGUUUUCGGAUCGUAAAACUCUGUUGUCAGGGAAGAACAAGUGCCGUUCAAAUAGGGCGGCACCUUGACGGUACCUGACCAGAAAGCCCCGGCUAACUACGUGCCAGCAGCCGCGGUAAUACGUAGGGGGCAAGCGUUGUCCGGAAUUAUUGGGCGUAAAGCGCGCGCAGGCGGUCCUUUAAGUCUGAUGUGAAAGCCCACGGCUUAACCGUGGAGGGCCAUUGGAAACUGGAGGACUUGAGUACAGAAGAGGAGAGUGGAAUUCCACGUGUAGCGGUGAAAUGCGUAGAGAUGUGGAGGAACACCAGUGGCGAAGGCGACUCUCUGGUCUGUAACUGACGCUGAGGUGCGAAAGCGUGGGGAGCGAACAGGAUUAGAUACCCUGGUAGUCCACGCCGUAAACGAUGAGUGCUAGGUGUUAGGGGGUUUCCGCCCCUUAGUGCUGAAGUUAACGCAUUAAGCACUCCGCCUGGAGACGCGACGCG